GCGAGUGUGAUGAAAUUGGUAGACAUGCUAUUUUCAGAGGGUAGUGGCAGUAGCCGUACGGGUUCGACUCCCGUCACUCGCACCA
rnacentral:tRNA from 1 species